AAAAAAAAAAAAGCGAACGAACAACUCUUCUUCUGCACCAAAAUGACUUCAGUUAUACGAAAUCUUUAUCCACUUUCUUGUCCACUCAAACAAUAUUGUUCAUUUCAAACCCCCAAAUCUUACUCCGAAUUCCAUUUUUCUUCCUCUGAAUUCUUUCAUUCCAAACAGUCCCUAAGGCAAGUUUCUGUUUCUGUGUCAUUCAAUCCAUCCGGGAACUUAGACCUCUCUCUCUCUACGACCAAGACCAAGAUGCAGGGAAACCAGCUCCACCAAUGCCUCCAAAGGAAGGCCGUUACGAAGUAGUUAUCGACAACGACAUCAUUGCUCGUCUCGAUUUAUCCCCUUUCAUUCCGCCACCGGAAUUACCGCCUCAAACUCGGUGAAGUCAAAGGAGUUAUUGGAGCGCACGAUCGGAUUUACGAUAAAUUACCGUAGAGAAGACGAGAACGAUCCACGAGAACUAUCAGAAUAUCCAGAUAUAAGGCUGUGGUUUGUUAGAGUGGAUGCUAUGUACCCAUGGCUCCCUGUUGUGUUGGACUGGAGAGCAGGGGAGCUUGCACGUUAUCUAUACAGAGGCGGAAUCAAAAUCAAAAUAUUGGGGGGUUAUCUAAAAUUUCGAGGUUCAGAGCAGCGCCCCGAAAAAAUUUAUUAGUUCACAAGAUAUAGCAAAAAUAAGUUUAUAUUGAUAAUUUUUUAAUUCAAAUAGCAUAUAUAUUAUAGUUUUAU